CCGUGCUAGAUGGGGAGAUAGCGGUUCCCUGAACCCGCAAUCCGCUAUAGCGGGAUUGAAUUCCUACCCCCGGCUAUUCUGUUUCCGGGGCCGCGCUGGGCAAACAGGUUAAGAAGGCCCGGUCCUGUGCGGCGCAAGCUCAUGAACCCCGUCAGGUCCGGAAGGAAGCAGCGGUAAAUGAAACCUUGCGGGUGCCACAGGGGUGCCGGGGUGGAGCUUGUUUCCCGGUUAACGCCCGGGGAUAGGUAGCCAAAGGUAGGUGCACGG
rnacentral:SRP_RNA from 1 species